GAAAUUUGUAUGUAUUUCCCAUAGGUUCCUAUGUUAAACUAAGCCCCCUGCUGGCGGUCAUCUUGGAUGAUGGAUCAGCGACAAAGUAACUACACUUUGUCAGCAUCUCAUAAGGAACAUUCAUUCUAUGUUUGGUUUCAUUCCAUUCAGUGGUUCUCUAAAAGAAGACAUUUAUUUGUAUGUAUUUCCCAUUGGGUCCUAUGUUAAACUAAGUCCCCCCACUGGGGUGUUGCUAAACAGAAAACGGAAACAGAGAAAAUUAACCUCUUUUCUUUUUGGCUGUUUUGUCUAGAUAGGAAUGUUUUAUAUAGUAUUACACAUGUAAUACUAUAUAAAAUGAGACUUUGCUUUUGAAAUAUUUGAUAAGGUCUUGCAUACGUUGUUCUUGCGAUCCAGUAUGUUGACAGUCUGUUCGACUUUUCUUAUUAAAAAAAUGUUGGAUCAAUGUCUAUUAUAUAGUUAACCAACAACACAAAAAUCAAAUUACAUACGACCUAAAUAGACGGACAUUGGCCUCGAUUCUAUAGAAAAGUUAUCG
rnacentral:lncRNA from 1 species